UUUGAAAACAUCCCAAUUCUCCUCCGAUUUGAGGUGUGAACCCCUUGAAGUUGGACGGUCCAGGUAGUUUAAAAGGGCAAAAGAGGUAACAUCAACAAUGAUAAUAAUAAUUUGUCUCUAAUAAUAAUCUAAAUUAGACCUCCAAUGUGGUAA